UACGUAGGGUGCAAGCGUUGUCCGGAAUUAUUGGGCGUAAAGAGCUCGUAGGCGGUUUGUCGCGUCUGCUGUGAAAACUCAGGGCUUAACCCUGAGCCUGCAGUGGGUACGGGCAGACUAGAGUGUGGUAGGGGAGAUCGGAAUUCCUGGUGUAGCGGUGAAAUGCGCAGGAUAUCAGGAGACACCAGUGGCGAAGGCGGCCGACUGGGCCGAUCCUGACGCUGAGACCCGAAAGCCAGGGUAGCGAACCGG
rnacentral:rRNA from 1 species